UAAUACGGGGGGAGCAAGCGUUGUUCGGAUUUACUGGGCGUAAAGGGCGCGUAGGCGGCGUGACAAGUCACUUGUGAAAUCUCCGGGCUUAACCCGGAGCGGCCAAGUGAUACUGUCGUGCUAGAGUGCGGAAGGGGCUACUGGAAUUCUCGGUGUAGCGGUGAAAUGCGUAGAUAUCGAGAGGAACACCUGCGGCGAAGGCGGGUAGCUGGGCCGACACUGACGCUGAGGCGCGAAAGCCAGGGGAGCGAACGGGAUUAGAUACCCCGGUAGUCCUGGCCUUAAACGAUGGAUACUUGGUGUGGCGGGUAUCGAUCCCUGCCGUGCCGAAGCUAACGCAUUAAGCAUUCCGCCUGGGGAGUACGGUCGCAAGGCUG
rnacentral:rRNA from 1 species